UCGCGAGUCGCGAAUGCCCAACCGGGCACCGCGCAAGAAGGAGAAGACAUAUAGAUCUGAGGAGAAAGAUAACUAGAGGAAGAGAAAUAAGCAACUGUUAAGAAAAAAAACGGAGCAAUGAUAGUAAUUGUAGAAAAAAGCAAAAUGGAAUUUCAUAACAGUGCACCAACACAGCAGGCAAGAAUAGAGUUGGAAGAGUUGGAACAACUUCUGUUUUUGAUAAUGAGCAGAAGAAUUGAAGAAAGUGCAAGGAGGAGCUUAAUUCUAGUUUGUUUUGGAACUUAAUUAUAAUUAAUAAAUUAUAAUUGUAGAUAC